GCAUGUGGCCAUAUCAUCUUCAUCUGUGAGCUCUUCAGAUUUCACAAGCUAAGCAGGGUCAUAUCUGGUCAAUAUUUUGCUGGGAGAACUCCCAAGAAAACACAAGUGCUGUGAGUG
rnacentral:rRNA from 1 species